CUUCUGUAGCUGCCAUGACCAUUUCUGCUCCUGAACUCCUGGCUUUGUCCCUGGCUUGACUUGGACUUUGCCUCCUGGACCAUGAAACCUGACAUGGACUCUGACCCUUGGUAUCGACCCUGGCCUGCAACCUGACUAUGAACUCCUCCACUACUCCCAGCCUCAGCAGGAGGAGUAAGCGGAGUCGACGGAGGAGCCGCGGCAGUUGACUCACCGCCCUGAGGAUGGCCAGUUGCUGGUACCUAUGGCAAAACCAUAACCUUGAGUCUAUACCCAGCCUAUCAAACUGAAUACAACUGAGAGUACAUAUAAGAUUCGAAGGACAAAACUACAGCAUGUGAUUUAACAAGUAACCGUUUUUAGACAGCGAUGGAUUUAUCACAGCAGUUGAGAUCUCUAUUGCUGCGUGCUUUCCAUUUGCCAAGCGCUGUGUUUAUUUCUGAGCAUGAUGGAUGAGUUGUACU